UGGGGAAUUUUCCGCAAUGGGCGAAAGCCUGACGGAGCAACGCCGCGUGAGGGAGGAAGGCUUUUGGGUUGUAAACCUCUUUUCUCAAGGAAGAUUUCAGACGGUACUUGAGGAAUCAGCAUCGGCUAACUCCGUGUCAGCAGCCGCGGUAAUACGUAGGGGGCGAGCGUUGUCCGGAAUUAUUGGGCGUAAAGAGCGUGUAGGCGGCCCGGUAAGUCCGCCGUGAAAACCUGGGGCUCAACCCUGGGCGUGCGGUGGAUACUGCUGGGCUAGAGGAUGGUAGAGGCGAGUGGAAUUCCCGGUGUAGCGGUGAAAUGCGCAGAGAUCGGGAGGAACACCAGUAGCGAAGGCGGCUCGCUGGGCCAUUCCUGACGCUGAGACGCGAAAGCGUGGGGAGCGAACAGGAUUAGAUACCCCUGUAGUCC
rnacentral:rRNA from 1 species